GGAGUCAUGUGUUCUGGGCAGCAAGACAACAGAGCACCAACAGUUCAUUCAUCAUUCAUUUGGAGACUUUUGUGAGAUAUUGACAAAUUGAGAAGAGCAGCAUAUGUGACAGAACAUUAUCAAACUGGAGCAAUCCUCAUGGGGCCGACCACAUAAAUUCUGAAGAUGCAGCUGGACAGGACUGUGAGGGGUGGAUGCUGCCCCUGCCUGCUUGAGUACUGUUAUAAAAUCAUGAUAAUAUCCAUGGCUUAUUAAACAGUUAUGUAUCAGGCACAGAUAACUUCUAUAGAUGAUCAGAAAGCCUCAGAAUUAGCAUCAAGGCUAGCAUGACAGAUGAGGCAACCAUAGAUGAUUUAAGUACAUGUUUCAAUGUGUAGUAAGUUAGUGGACUUAGUUAAUUGCAAAACCUAGAUUCAAAGUAGAUUUGUGACUUUCCAAGUUCUGAGCUAAUAAUAUUGUGAUAAUGUUUGCCUGUAUCAUCAAUGUCCAAGGAUGGCUGACCACUUCAUCAGAAUGAGUUGGGGAAACAAAUAUUUACCUGUUCUUGAGCAAGGAGUCUGAAUUCUGUGGUGCUAUCUUUGAAAAAUAAAUGAUGUGC
rnacentral:lncRNA from 1 species